CCAAUUUAGAAUGAUAUUAAAAUAUUGAGGGUUUUUUUAGAUACUUAACAAAAGAAGGGAUCAAACAACCAAACAAAAAGAGGCAGACAGUAUUUCCCUCUUAUUAAGUUACAAAUUGAAAAAAAGAACUUGUAAAGAGAGUUGUGGCUAAUUAAGGGGAGGCUUCAUUUCUGAUUUUAUAGCAGCAACCAACUGAUCAUAAGCUUCUCCCCAAGCAUUCUUCAUCUCCGGUGACCACAUUUCCGGUAAGGCCUCCUUUAUGGUUUCCAACAAUGCGAACUUGGUCACCUAUAUAUAAAAUAAAUAAUUGUUCGAUAAGGCACAUAUUUGGAAAAGAAGAAUUCGAACCCAAAACUUUGCGUACAAGGAAAAACGCUGUUCUUAUUUAAUUAGAUAAAAUCCCUUGAAGCCUGAUAAUUUAUACCUCAUAAUGUUCAUCUACCACUCCAGACUUGAAGUGGACACCACCUAAUCUUUUCAAGGUUGACUCUCUCACUGUAACCUUGCCUGCUUUCCUGAGUUGAACUGCAGAUUCACAAGUCUGGAACACAAAUGAAGGAUUAACGAUCGAACCCAAGUUAAUUAUAAUUUACUUUAUAUGUGAUAGUAUCACACUAGCAGCUUAAUUAUAUUUACCAUAACAAAUACAGACAUGGCGUGAGGCUUGAGCUUUGGGUUCUUCUCAAGAGGAAUGUCAGAGUCCCUCAAGAAAGAGAACAGCUUCUGAGCUGAUGGUGCAAUUUCAAAGAUCCUGCAAAUUGAAGUCCCAGUUGGUUCAAAACCUUUCUUCUGACAUCAUAUAUAAACUAUGAAGUGCAGAUGAAAAAAAAAGAACGAAUCAGAAAAAUUGGGUGCUAUUUUAUAGUCGGCUAAAUUUGCAAGUUUAUGUAAAACGGACUUACUUUAAGAAGAACUUAAGGCCCAAUUCAGCAGCGUUCUUCUUCAUCACACCCCAUGACUUCACCACCAGUGUUUCCUGUUCUUCUGUGAAAACUUUGCCUUCCAUGCUAUAACAAUUUAAUUGUCCCAAAAAGUGAAGCUCUAAGAAUUUGAACUUAAAUAAUUGAAAAUUGUAUCGAGGAAAUUUCCAAUGAGAUCAAUAUUCUUUGGCAGAGAAUAUAUAUAGUAAAACCCAGUGCGGAUUAAGAUUUAGCACCCAACUUUUUGUGACAACUCUUCAGGACACUGGAGAGCCAUUCUCCCUAUGGAUUUCAAUUUUUAGCACCCAACUUUUGAUUAUGUAGCACAUGUCCCAAAACCAGGGGCUGUCUGAGGCAGUAUUUGGAGAACAUGGUUUUAGGUGGAUGAGAAUCCUCUCUGUAUCUCCUUUGCGAGGAUUCUAAGGAUCCUCAUAUCCUAUUCGUUUAUCGUACAUCGUACGGUCAUUUUUUGUUAAGUAUUAUUUGUGUUUAAUUUAAAAAAAAAUCAUAAGAUUUCUGACCAUUCGAUAUACGAUAAAUGAUGUGAGGAUCCAAAUCCGUUUUGGGUUUUUCAUCUUCAGGUCUUGGCAACUAAAGUGACGCAAGCCACAACAUCGGAUUUGGAUCGAGGAAGGCAAAAUUUUUGUCUCAACUUUAUUGCCCAAUACCUUUGAGGCUAAUAACAUAUUUGUCAACAACGACUAAUUAAUCAUAUCUUAGUUAGGCUGCGCAAGCAUUGUACGAGGUCCUUUGCUUGGCAUGGCAGACGCAUUGGCCUUUGUCUUGGCAUAUAAAAGUGGGAAGUGGUUUGAAGAGUUGUCUUUGCACAAAAAGACAAAAAUAUAGUAUUGUCAAAACCCUUCAGGGUUGGGGAGAGCCAAAAACUAAGCUUUGUAUUUCAAUGUUGGUAGGCAACGACCAAUGCUCCAAUGAAAAUGUAAAAAUUGUAGUUUGUAUUCUUGAAUAAUUUUUUUUUAUUAAUUAUGUCCAUCCUGACUACUGUGUAAGAAAUUUCUAAUAGCCUCAAGCUUGCAAUUGUAGAACCGUAAGACAUGAAUGAAUUGUCCUCGUAAAGAAGUUGAGUCUAACGACAUCGUAUCUUAUAUUUUCUAACAAUUUGUUUGUUUUAACUUUGUGAUAACUCAUAUAUUUCAUAAAUUUUUACCAUCCAUUCCUAGUCUCUUUGUGAUAUUUUGGGUUAAAUUAGUUGUGUUUUACCCUCUUUUAUGUUAAUGUGCAGUUAAUUGUAUUUUAGAGUCCAUUUGGGGGCAAAUGAGGCAAAAUGGUGCUGAAAGUAGAGAAUUCAUUAAGGCCAGAUUCUGAUGUAGAGAGAGAUUGUGUACAAAUAUGGUGAUGAAUAUGGCCCUUUAAGAGACCAAUAACAGAAAGAAAAAAAAAACAUGUGAAAUAAAUGCUCAAUUAUUGCAAUGUCUUGGCAUCCUGUAGCAGCUUCUUUAGCACUUAAAUACUAGGUUUUACAUCACUUUUACACAAACCCCCUCUUGGAGACACUCAUAGCACUCUCUCUUCUCCUUCUUUGGCCUUUCUUUCAUAAACAAAAUCCUUUUUCCAUUCACCACCCGUUGCCACCAAAGAAACCUUGCAGCCACGCUGUUCUUAAAGGAGUUCCACAUCAAAAUUGUUUCAAGGGGUUUCUUAUAUGGAUUUAAUUUCACUAAUAUUCUUCGUAUCUAUAUGUGAUCAUGUUGAGUAACAAAGUUCAUAGCUGGAGAUUUCGAUGGAGCCUUGCAAAACUAUUCUAAGUUAUUAAGUUAAAGCAGUCAAUUUGUCAAUCUAUUUUCUUGUUUCAUUCACUAAUUUUAUAUUUUAAUUUGUUUGUUUAUCUUAAUGUUUGAUCACCAUUAGGGUUUCCUACAGAUUAUAUAAUCAAGGUUAUAGUAUACAUCAUACUUAAUCUUGGUGGAAAUGUGAAUGAAUGGAGAAGCUGCUAUGCAAACAUCAUGCCAUGUGAUUUCUUUGUUCUUUGAAGUUUUCUUGUUUCUAAUGAAUUCUUAAUUGGUAAUCUAAGUUGAAUAUCACAACUAGGUUGCAAAUUAGGAGUACUUGAUCACAACCACACAUCAAAUGGAUGAUCAUAAAUAAGUAAAACGAACCCCAGUUGCAGAUUGGAGAGUUGAAUACGUUUUGACUUCAUAAACACGCAAUUGGCUUGUAAUGGUGAAAUCGAGAUCCUUAGUUCCAAAUCAAUCUAUCAUUAAUAUUUAUAUUCUCUUGCAUUUUAAGCUUACCUUAGUUUUCCAAAACAAAAAUCCAAAUUCAGUUUGUAGUUUCACUGUUUAGUUAGGGUUCACAUAAAACUAGUAAUUUGUAGAGGUCUAAUCAGUCCUUGUGGUUUGACACCCUUAUUUGUGUCAUUAUAUGAUCCUUAUAUUUACACUUGAAAGGAACAAAACAUUUAGGAUGAGAGUUUUAAAAUCAACUAUUAUUUGUAGCCUAAUCAACUAUUAUUUGCAACCCUCCUUUUUGCCCUCCUCUUUGCCCUCCUUUUUCAUUUGACGAUUCAAACCAUAUUUCUUUGUACUUUUUUUUUUUAUAAUUUCAAUUUUUUUAGUGGUAAACCUGCUCUCUACCUCUCACAUAGUUGUAUCAUACAAUUCUUUGGAUUCUCUCUAUUAAAUUUAAUUGGACUUUUAGUUUUAUGAAAAUUACUUCAACUACUCAUGUUAUGGGUUCAUAAGCCUUGCUUCCCAUUGUAAUUUCCAUUGUAGCACAUGUGUGGCCCAACCCAUAUGGGCCAUGCGGACUUGACGCAUCCCCACCUUCCUCCAAUAUAUCAUUGGCAAUCCCUCGUGAGUGUGGCACGCACCUUUUUGUUUGUUUUGGAGCCAUUUUGGUGGGGCGUACUAAAUCACUACGUACCACAUCACCGGGCGGCUCGCCUGAAUGCCGAGUCUUUCUCUGCCACUAACUCAACGUCGUUGCCACCUGCUAGAUAAGGCCAAAAACUUGACUUUACUCAAUGAUGUGAAAAUUACUUGACACACAAAUUAAACCCUCUUUUUGACAAUUGUAGUAUAGAUGUAAGUAGGGUAUCGUUCUAGGCCGGGGAUUAGGAGGGAUUGCUAAUCUAUUCUAAAUUAAUUUAAAAAUAUUAAACAAGACUCAAGGACACAAAACUAGGCUAAAAACUCUAAUAACUCGAAACACACUUAGAAUGACUCAAAAUAAUGAAAACAAUCAAAUUAGACACUAGGAACUGAAAUGGACGGAAAUUGAAUUAAAAGACUAUCAACAAUGAAACUUACUAAAUAAUAUAAUUUAAUAAUGGGGGGGGAUUUGGUUUUGACGAGAAGUAAAUUAAACUUAAAUAAAUUACAGAAUUGACAAAAGCAUGAAAUUAAGGUGAAAGGAUAGGUGACGGACUAGCUAGAGGGUUAUUCUCCACACAUGACACAUAUGCAACCUAAAUUGAUUUUCAGUUGUUCUUUCAAUAAAUUGUGAAUGACAAUGUUCCAAGUUAAUUAGGUCCGCUUAAAUUAACUCUUAGAUUUCCCUAGAUUCAUUGGAUUGAAUGGAAUACGCAUUACAACCAAAUUAUUCCUCAUCAAAGUCCCUAACUAUGGAAUACGCAUGAUAGAGACAUUCAACAAAGAUCAUUAAGUUCAACGGAAAUCAUAAACAUUGACUAGGCAUUCAUAACUAUGGAAUACGCAUGUUAAUCCAGCCUAGAAUUUACUUAACGUGAUUGUGACUAGCAACCUUCACUACUUAUGAAUAUAAGUUUAUAACGAUUAGGUGAAAUUCACUUAUAUUCUAGCAUCAAAUUCAUGCAUGUAAAUUAAGCAUGCAUUCUUAAUCGACAUACAAAAAUAAGUUAUCAAUUAAGCAGUUAAGCAAAUUAAAUCACAACUUAUAAAUCACAACUGAAGGUAAUCAAUUCAUAUUACAAAUAUAUUCAUGGCUUUGAAUUAACCUCUAGCCAAAAUAAAUUUAGUUACAUAUUAUUAUCAAAUUAAACCAAAAGUAAAACAUAGGUUUGAGAAGAUAAAACCAAGAAAAAUGGAGUGAAACUUUGCUCUGUGUUGCUCCCGUUUCUGCUGGUCUCUGCCCUCUCUGACCUCUGGCUGGCUGCCUCUCUCCUCUCGCCUUCUUUCCUCUUGCAGUCCUCCUUUCCCACGUUUCCUGCUUCUUCUUUUCUCACGCUGCCAAGGGCAGCUUUUUGGACUCUCUGACCUCACGUUUCCUGCUUCUCGUGUUGCUCCCGUCUCUGCUUCUCUCCUGUUUUUCUGUGCAGCCUUCUGCUUCUCUCUCCCGCCACCUGUCUCUCAAGCUGCCAAAGGCAGCUUCUAUCCUGUUUCGCGCGCCUCCUCCCUUAUUCUGCCCGUCCGUUUCCACCUCUCUGACCUACUCUAUAUUUUUAAUUUCUUUUUCUUCCGCCCCCCGAGGCUCACGCUGCAAGCCAGCUUUUAUUCUCUCUGCCAAACACUUCUUUCUCCCCACUGUCUCCUUCAGUGUUUCUCCCACUUGUCCCCUUUAUUUCUAUUUUUUUUAUUUUCUUUUCAAACCACCCUCCACUGCUUCUUAUCCCGCACUCUUCUCUUUUUCUUUAUUUUCUUAUUCUAUUUCCUCCUUCCACCAGUCUGCCCGUGUCCUCCUCUUAUUCUUCUUUUAAUUUUUUUAUUCCUUCUUUUCUUUUUUUUUAUUGCCGUCCAACACUCUCCUAUAUUUCCCUUUUGUUAUUCUUCUCCAUCAUUCCAUGUCUCCCACUUCUUUGUCAUCUUUUUCUUUUUUUUUCAAUUCCAAUCUGCAAGUUGUCGUCAGCUAGACCUUCCCUUACUCAAAUGCCUAUAACUUCUUCUAGAAAAAUGAUAUUAACAAUCCGAGAAAUGUUCUAGAAAAUAGACAUCUGUAGCUUUCCAAGCAUAUAAAGCUCAUUCUCUAAUUCAUUCUGAGCUGUUCGCAACUUGCUCCCAAAGUCAGCUGAUCUACACAGACAGUUUUGACGAAUUUAUUACUUAAAAUUUCACUUGUUCUAUUUUUAUUUUCUUUGCUAGACAAAUCCUAUAAUACGCAAAAACAAAGUAAAUAGCUCAAAAAUAUAAGGAACUAACUAAGAAAAGACGAGUGAAUUUGAAGUAAAAAUAUAUAUAAAUAUGAUCCGAUCACUCAACAAGUGAGAAAACUGUUGGCUCCCCUUCUUACUGACAGCAUUGCUACUUGCUGGCACUCAAUUAGUAGUGCGGGCAUGUCACUCGGUUCCUUGGCUCACUUCGGUUCCAAAGACUUUCUCCUUAGGUGCAUGUCUCAGCAACACAAAAUGAGGGUUUCACUCAUUAUAGGACUUGACCAAACAUAUCAUCAUUACAUAUCUGAGAAACCCUCAUUCACAUACAAUUCUGGCUCCAUUACUGUCCCGAUCACAUUUAUUCAAACUCUAACUUGUAAUUUUGACACGAUAUUUUUCAAUAUUUUAUAAAAUAUUUAAAAUUCUAGCUCUUUCUGCCUCUAACUUGCCCAUGGCUCUCUCUCCUUGGCCCGAAUUGUGUCUUCCUCAUUGUGAAAGUAGAUGCAGCCUUUUUUUUUUAUUGAACAACUUUUAAUUUUUUUAUUUAAUCACUCUGAGUUUAGUUUUAAAUGAUUUUAAUUAAAAUUUAUAAAGUUUUUAAUAAUUUAUCCAUGUGGCAAUACAUGUGGGUUCAAAUAUGUACUACAUCAGCACACUAACUGAAAUUUUGAUGGAAUUCUAAUGGAAUGAUCACAUUGAUUUGCAACAUCAAUAUCCAAUGACUACAUUUAUUGAAUUUCAUUUUCAGGAACCAUCUUAAUGCUAAAAGUCAAUUUCAGGUACUACUUAUGAUAAAAACCCUAAAAAAAUUGAUACUAAUUUAGAACGACACUAAAAUAUUGAGGGUGUUUUAGAUAUUAACAAAAGAUAGGAACAAACAACCAAACAAAUAGAGGCAGAUAGUAUUUCCGACUUAUUAAGUUACAAAUUAAGAAAAGAACUUAUAAAGAGAGUUGUGGCUAAUUAAGGGGAGGCUUCAUUCUGAUUUUAUAGCAGUAACCAACUGAUCAUAUAAGCUUCUCUCCAUGCAUUCUUCAUCUCCGGUGACCACAUUUCCGGUAAGGCCUCCUUUAUGGUUUCCAACAAUGCGAACUUGGUCACCUAUAUAUAAAAUAAAUUGUUCGCUAAGGCACAUAUUUGGAAAAGAAGAAUUCGAACUCAAAACUUCGCGUGCAAGGACAAACAUUAGCAUAUACCUCAUAAUGUUCAUCUACCACUCCAGACAUGAAGUGGACACCACCUAAUCUUUUCAAGGUUGACUCUCUCACUGUAACCUUGCCUGCUUUCCUGAGUUGAACUGCAGAUUCACAAGUCUGGAACACAAAUGAAGGAUUAGUGAUCGAACCCAAGUUAAUUAUAAUUAACUCCACACUAGCGGCUUAAUUAUAUUUACC
rnacentral:lncRNA from 1 species